AUUGAACGCUAGCGGGAGGCCUAACACACGCAAGCCGAGCGGGAUUUGAGACUAGCUUGCUAGUCUUAAUGAGAGCGGCGUACGGGUGCGGAACACGUGUGCAACCUGCCUUUAUCUGGGAGAUAGCCUUUCGAAAGGAAGAUUAAUAUCCCAUAAUAUAAUGAUUGGCAUCAAUUAUUAUUGAAAGCUCCGGCGGAUAGAGAUGGGCACGCGCAAGAUUAGAUAGUUGGUGAGGUAACGGCUCACCAAGUCGAUGAUCUUUAGGGGGCCUGAGAGGGUGAUCCCCCACACUGGUACUGAGACACGGACCAGACUCCUACAGGAGGCAGCAGUGAGGAAUAUUGGACAAUGGGUGAAAGCCUGAUCCAGCCAUCCCGCGUGAAGGAUUAAGGACCUAUGGUUUGUAAACUUCUUUUCUACAGGGAUAAACCUACUCUCGUGAGAGUAGCUGAAGGUACUGUAGGAAUAAGCACCGGCUAACUCCGUGCCAGCAGCCGCCGUAA
rnacentral:rRNA from 1 species